ACCGUGGGAUAAACCAUUUGUCCCAGCCGUUAGAAAUGGCGGCUUAAAAAGCUAGUGAAACCGGGGAAGGCUAAACAACUGAUGUUCGUUUUGUAGUAUAGAUAAUCAGUUGCAUGUUAAUCCCGUGCCAAGCUUGUGAGGAAACUCCAAGAAGGCGUAACGACUAGAUAAAGUAAACUAAAGAAAGCACACAAAACAAAUGUGUGCUUUUUAUGUUGAAAUAUCCACGAGUGCUAGCCACCUUACCAUUUAGUUGAAGGUGAUGAUAUAGUCUGAACAUUAUGGAAACAUAAUG
rnacentral:ncRNA from 1 species